rnacentral:lncRNA from 1 species
UGCCAAGACCCACUCUACUUUUUUAUUUUGAAGAGUUGGGUUGUCAAAGCUAUUACACUUUUGACACUUGUUUGACACUUUUUUUGUUUUAAACAAUGAAGAGGCAGGAAAUUUUUUUUUGUUUUUAAUUUCAUGAUUAAGAACAACUGAACAUUAUACUCAUUUAAAUCAACCCAGUUACAUAGUUUCCGUAAGUUAACGGCUGCCAAGUGUGUUCUUCAGUGACCCAUCAUGAGCAACAUUAUCUGAUGGGUAAAACCGAUUUUAAGGUUAGACAUGGUAUAUGUAAAAAUAGAAAGUUUAAAAACCAAUCUUGUCACAGACACUUCCAUUGCCAUCUCCUUUGUGAAAUAAAUAAGGCAGCAGAUAACUUUUACUUUGAAGUGGCAUCUUUGAGAUAUGCUAUUAAGUCUACUCUCUCAGACUUCUUCUUGAUACCCGCAAAAAUCAUCUUUGUUCCUGGGAUGUACUUCUUUGGAUUUUCCAAAUACUCCAUCAGAGUAUCCUCACCCCAAGUGAUACCUUUGUUCUUAUUGGCAUCUGUGUAAGAGAAGCCCUCAGCUUGUCCUGUUUUGCGUCCAAACAGGCCAUGAAGGUUGGGUCCAGUCUUGUGCUUGCCUCCUUUUUCAACCGUAUGGCACUGGGAACAUUUCUGGACAAAAAUCUUCUUGCCCUUCUCAAUAUCUCCCAUUGUCAGUACUGCUUAGCCGGCCGCUCCGCUUACAAUGCGCCCACGGCGGUGACCACAAGUCCGGCUGCCCCACACCGUCCGGCUUCUGCGCCCAAGGACACGCCGGACUCCGCCCUAUGUAAGCCGG